CCUUCCUCCCUAGCAACCACCGAGUCUCUCUCGGAGCCUCUCACCGCACGCCACUAGCUCUGCCCUAGCAACCAUGCCCCACCCCGCUCCAACGCUCAUUGGCUGGCUGGCUUGAUCGGGAUUAGGUAUUGGUCAGACAGGACGUCGGUCACGAAGAGUUCCCACCCUCCUGUGUAGGGCUGUCAGGAUUCCGUGGCCGUCUCCAUCCCCGAGGCUUUUGGAUGCCCUCCUGGCAGCACACAGCCAGUGUCCUCUGGAGAUUAGUGGAGAUAACUUCAGGAUUGCUUGAUAAUGACUUCUAUAAAGGAGCAGGCGGCAAUUAGCAGGCUCUUAAGUUUUUUACAGGAUUGGGACAAUGCUGGCAAAGUCACAAGGAGUCACAUCCUUAACAAUUUCAUUGAAACCAACCAAGGCAAGACUGCCCCUGAACUGGAACAGGAGUUUUCCCAAGGAGCCAGCUUGUUCCUGGUACGCUUGACUACCUGGCUUAGACUCACCUACAUGACUGGCUCAUGUUUAAUUAAGCUUCUAAAGUCCAUUGGCAUCUUCCUAUCAUCUGUAAGCAGUAACCGGUACCUUAUAGAAUUCCUUGAGGUUGGAGGUGUCCUAACGCUCUUGGAAAUACUUGGGUUGGAGAGGACCAAGGAGGAGGACAAGAAGGAAUCCAUCAAGCUACUUCAGCUUAUUGCAAACUCUGGCAGGAAGUACAAAGAGCUCAUUUGUGAAAGCUAUGGUGUACGAUCCAUAGCAGAAUUUUUGGCAAAGUCUAAGUCAGAAGAGACCCAGGAGGAGGUGCAGGUUCUAUUGGAUUCUUUGGUCCAUGGUAAUCCUAAAUACCAGAACCAAGUGUACAAAGGUCUAAUAGCUUUGCUGCCCUGUGCAUCCCCCAAAGCUCAGCAGCUAUCCCUGCAGACUCUCAAGACUGCCCAGUCAAUCAUUGGAGUCACACACCCCAGCAUCGUGGACUGCAUGCUGAAGGUGCUGCGCACAAUGCACCUGGAAGUCCAGUAUGAAGCCAUCCAGCUGAUCAAGGACCUGGUCAAUUACGACGUGCGCCCUGCACUGCUCAAGGGCCUCGUGGCGCUGCUGAUACCUUCUGUCAAGGAGACCACCAAACUGCAGCCCAAGAUCCUCAAUGACUCCUCGGUGCUCGAGAUCACCGCCCACCUGCCGGUGUUUCUGCAGCAGGCCGCGGCCGCCAAGGCCAUCGGGGUCCUGGCGCACAGCAACAUUAGCGUCGCCGAGGAGCUGCUGCACCUGCGCGUGGUGCACAGCCUGAUGACCGCCAUGGGCAACACCGACCACAGCAACAGCCAGCGGCUGGCCAGCCUCACGCUGGAGUACUACGUACAGAUGUUCCCGGUGGUGGAGGAGCACGUGCGCCGGAGCAUGGGGGAGGAACUCUACAAGCUCUUCAUUGUAAGUGCUCCCUCCUCGCCCCGGCCCCAAAGAGCUGUCGCUGACGUGGACAGAAUGGUGGGCCCCUCUACACCGUCCCUACCCUGGUGCCCCGUCCCCUCCCGGAACGGGCUUGGGCUCCUCCACCCGGCAUCUUUCCGUUUCCUUUCCUGUUCUGCCGGUCAGUCUGGGAGCCCGAGUUUCGCCUGCAACAUCCCUCUGCCUAAGCCCAAUUUCAAGUCCAGACUGCGCCGGCACCCCAGGCAGGCGUCCUUUGCUCCUAUCCUCAGAGUAACGCUGAAGACUUGUACCUGAAAAUAGACAGCAUUCAGGCGGACAUCUUGGCAGCCAACAACGUCAAUGUGACCAAAGCCUUACACCUCUCUGACAUCUCCAGCAACAUGAGCUUUUUCUUUGGCCCUCCGGAAGAUAGUGAUCAGCUGGCCUACCUCACACACUUCCAGAAGGAGGAUAUGGAAGCAAAGGAGGGACAGAGCCAGUGAGGCAAUCUGGGC